CACAGACGGUCUUUACAAGCGACUCGUGGGCGUCAAUACUGGGCUGAGUUUGUGGCGCGCUUAGUGAUGGGAUGGCCCUGUGCAGGACGCCGACACGAAAAGAUGAAGAGUUCAAUCCGUGCUGUCUGAACUCACAGUGUAGCAGGCGAGAUAGACGGGAAGAUCGGUAGGGUGGGAGAUGCCGGAAAGGCUUCCCGUGAGACUGGAUAAGAAAUCAAAAAUCUGGUGAAAUUGCCGGCAAGAGGGAGUUAAGGACAUUCCAGGCAGAGGCAAGUUGGUCCUUGCUGGCUGAUCCAGCUUCCCCGUCAGCAUAUGGUGAGCAGUUCGGUGAGAGGACCACACUUCCAAUACUGGCAGAUGAAGCCAGAUACUCCUCUAUGAAGUUAAAUGACUGGUUCAGUGUUAACACUGCUAGUGAGCGACAGAGAUGGAAUUUGAACGCACACCUGUCUGACUCCACCUCGUGUUCCUUCCACAUGGCCAGCAAGCUCUGCUGUCCCACCUCGCACUUCUGGGAGGUGGCUACUCCCUCUUUCCACCCCCUUUUCUGGAUCUUGACAAGGGAUUCUACCCUGCCCCAGCUGUCAAAGCCUGCAGCAGCUGCCAAAAAACCUCAACACAGGCAUACUUUGGACCUACAUCAUGUGUUGAUGUCACAGAUGCUGUACCAGGCAUUUGACUCCUUGAUCUAAAGCCAGGAUUCCUAGCCAACAUGGCGAAACCCUGUCUCUACUAAAAAUAACAAAAAUUAGCUGGGCAUGGUGAUAGGCACCUGUAAUCCCAGCUACUUGGGAGGCUGAGGCAGGAGAAUUACUUGAACCCAGGAAGCGAAGGCUGCAGUGAGCAGAGAUUGUGCCUCUGCACUACAGCCUGGGCUAUGGAGUAAGACUCUGUCUCAAAAAAAAAAAAAAAAAAAAAAUAGUGAGGGGGAUGCAUGCCCACACAAAGGAAUCCUGAUAGAGGAACAAUGGCUUGGUCCGUUUCCCCUCCUGUGUAGCACUGUGAUAAAGGAAAGCCUUUCAGGUAUGUGCCUCGAUGGAGCCAGUGGGUGGAAGAGGAAGGGCAAUGAGAGGUUUGAGGACAAGCUGCUGAUACCCUCAUGUGUCAUCACAGUGGUGCCCUUUGGGAGCCUGCUUUGGUAUACUCGUCCACUCAGGGAAGAGGAAGUCUCUUAUCCACAGUUUUGUCUUCAAAAUUGAAAUUUCUUUGGGCAGAGCCUAAAAGAGAGUUGCCUCAUUUCGUGUAACUGUAGCAUAUGUAGUGUAGAGGCUCCAAUGUGUUUUUGAGGCAAUCUGAGAGCUCUUUCUGGAAAUCCCUGGCAGAUGACAUCUGCGUCUGAUUUUACUUUGUCUUACAACCAGGCUAAGACCUCCAGCAUCAUCAGACUGUCGAACUGCUCAGGUCAAGGCAGACAGGUAGAAAGGCCCACAUAGAUAGUGGUUACUCAUCCCAAGAACACAGAGGCCCACACCAGGAAGGGGCAGGUGAUGUUAAUGAUGAGGCAGGCAAUUAUAUCUUGCGAUUUCUAUGAGCCAUGAUGCAUUACAGUAAGGAACUUUACCUCACUUGGCUUGUGACUUCUGUUAGUGAAAAGUGGCCUGCUGGCCUAUGCUGUGGAGGACUUGCAGAAAACUUCCCAGUCACCGGCAGACGGUUGACAUCUCCCCUGGUUCCUCCCCAACCCGUUUAGUGUGAAACGGGACAAAGGGAAACAUUUCCUUUGAUCUAUUUUUGGGGAAAGAGGCAAAUGUCAACUAAAUAAGAUCAUAUUAGGGACUGGGCAUGGUGGCUUAUGCCUGUAAUCCCAGCACUUUGGGAGGCCAAGGUGGGCGGAUCACCUGAGGUCAGGAGUUAGAGACCAGCCUAGCCAACAUGGCGAAACCCUGUCUCUACUAAAAAUACAAAAAAUAUUAGCCAGGUGUGGUAGCACGCGCCUGUAAUCCCAGCCACUCGGGAGGCUGAGGCACGAGAAUCACUUGAACCCAGGAGGCGGAGGUUGCAGUGAGGCGAGAUCACACCACUGCACUCCAGCAGCCUGGG
rnacentral:lncRNA from 1 species